rnacentral:rRNA from 1 species
AACGCGAAGAACCUUACCUGGGCUCGAACGGCUUUGGAACAUCCUUGGAAACAGGGACUUCCCGCAAGGGACCGGAGUCGAGGUGCUGCAUGGCUGUCGUCAGCUCGUGUCGUGAGAUGUUGGGUUAAGUCCCGCAACGAGCGCAACCCUUGUCCUGUGUUGCCACUCCCGUAAGGGAAGCACUCUCAGGAGACCGCCAGCGAUAAGUUGGAGGAAGGUGGGGAUGAUGUCAAGUCAUCAUGGCCUUUAUGUCCAGGGCUACACACGUGCUACAAUGGACGGUACAAAGCGCUGCAAACCCGCGAGGGGGAGCUAAUCGCAAAAAACCGUUCUCAGUUCGGAUCGCAGGCUGCAACUCGCCUGCGUGAAGCUGGAAUCGCUAGUAAUGCCGUAUCAGAACGAUGGCGUGAAUACGUUCCCGGGCCUUGUA